GUGGAAGGUGGUGUUGGUAGUGGAGGGUAAUGGUGGUAGUGUGUGGCGUUGGUGGUGGUGGUGGUGGUGCGUGUUGUUGAUGUUGGUAGUGGAGGGUAGUGGUGGAAGAUAGUGGUAGUGUGUGGUGGUGGUGGAAGGUGGUGUUGGUAGUGGAGGGUAAUGGUGGUGGUGGUGGUGGUGGUUUCUGAGGUACUAUAUAUGUUACCAGGAACUAUUUUGCUGAGAGCCGGGUGAAGUUUGCCGAUAGAAGAUGAAAAAUUGAUUGUGCCAAAAAUCCAGAAAUCAUCAAAAAAAGGACUUAGGCAAUUUGUGUACUAGGCUGGAUUAAUAGUGGAAUGACUGAGAGAAAAGGUGGGAUGAGUGAAGAGUAGAGGUGGGGAGGAAGUUGAAUGAAGGAAAUUAACUCUAUGAAAGACGAGUAUACAUUGCGCCCAAUCUUAGGGAAGUGGACAAGGGCAUACUACUCUAUUCAGGGCCAUGGACAGUGCCAGGGAAGAAAUAUAGUGACUCCUUACCAAUGGCACUCUCCCUCUUAAAGUAUGUAAAGUUUUGUGUGUGUGUGUGUGUGUGUGUGUGUGUGUGUGUGUGUGUGUGUGUGUGUGUGUUUAUUCCUGGCCUCUAUCAUUUAAUGGAAUAGUAGUAAAAACGUCUCCAUCCUUUUCUCUUUUCAUUAUUCUUUUUAUUUCUUUUUCAUCAUUCUCUUUUCUAGUUCUGAUUUCUUUCCCAUAUUCCUCUCCUAUUCUAUGCCUAGUGCUUCUGAGUGCGGAUAUCUGUUACCUUCAUUAAUCACUACUUUCCAUUUUUAACAUAAUUGCAUUCCUUUAAUACCUCUGGCUAACAUCUUAACAACUAUAACUUUUGCCUUCCCAAACUGUAUUUUCGCCUACAUAUCCCUUCUCUUAUCUAACUUUUCAUAUGUUAUUCCUGGAGUAUUUUCUGUCUUAUUUGUUCCUCUUUUAAGAUCUCUCAUAAUGCACUUGCUCAUCUCACAUAUAUCUCAGCUAUUGCAUUCCUGUCUAAUACCUCACCUGUCCCUGUCAUAAUAUCUCUCAUGAAUGCGUUGCUCCUACUCCUUUUUCCUCUCCUUCACAUCCCUGACUUACUGCUUUCAAGAUCUCACGCUUAACUAAUUUUUGCUCUCUUUUCUAUUUCACACACAACAUGUUCCUCUUUAAAACUCCAUUCAUUACCACUACUUAAGUCUCCCUAAAGUCACAACACAUCACAACAUCUACUAACAAGCAAUCGUCACAAACUCACUAACCUUACGUGUCUUUUGUCGGCACUGCUCGGCCAGGGUGACACAAGGUACAGGUGUAACGAACCACCACCCGGGCCGAGGCAAGCAGGUAAACAGGAGUCACAACCACAUCUGUCCCAAUCUGACAUGCUGAGGAGAGUCUAUCAGGGUCUGUCUAAGGGUAGUCUGUGUUCCUCUUGUUGACUCAGAGCUGCAACCACAUCCUAGUUUGUGCUGGAUGGUCUGUCACUCACUUAACCUUUACUUCCAGUGCUAAUCUUAGUCUCUAUAUGUGGCUUGGUAACUUUGACAGGCCUCCAAGUCUAUGCCUUCACACACCUAAAGGCUGGGUCCUCUUAGGCAAUUAGCACCUCCAUAAAUAGCACUUCUUCCUAACUUAUGGCAGUGCUAAAGGAUGGUUCUUCAUAGCAUCUUAGUCAAUUUAGUACCUCCAUAAGUAGUGCUUCUCUCUAUAUGGCAGCGCUAAAGGCUUUGUAUUGGUUAGUUCAGCACGGCCAUAAAUAGCACUCCU